CGGCGACCGGCGCACGGGUGAGUAACGCGUAUCCACCCUUCCGCUUACUCGGGGAUAGCCUUUCGAAAGAAAGAUUACUACCCGAUGGUAUCUUAAGCACGCAUGAUAUUAAGAUUAAAGAUUUAUCGGUAAGCGAUGGGGAUGCGUUCCAUUAGGCAGUUGGCGGGGUAACGGCCCACCAAACCUACGAUGGAUAGGGGUUCUGAGAGGAAGGUCCCCCACAUUGGAACUGAGACACGGUCCAAACUCCUACGGGAGGCAGCAGUGAGGAAUAUUGGUCAAUGGGCGAGAGCCUGAACCAGCCAAGUAGCGUGAAGGAUGACGGCCCUACGGGUUGUAAACUUCUUUUGUGCGGGAAUAAAGGAACCUACGUGUAGGUUUUUGCAUGUACCGUAACGAAUAAGCAUCGGCUAACUCCGUGCCAGCAGCCGCGGUAAUACGGAGGAUGCGAGCGUUAUCCGGAUUUAUUGGGUUUAAAGGGAGCGUAGACGGGUUUUUAAGUCAGCUGUGAAAGUUUGGGGCUCAACCUUAAAAUUGCAGUUGAAACUGGAGACCUUGAGUACGGUUGAGGCAGGCGGAAUUCGUGGUGUAGCGGUGAAAUGCUUAGAUAUCACGAAGAACUCCGAUUG
rnacentral:rRNA from 1 species